AAGUCGUAACAAGGUUUCCGUAGGUAGGUUUGCCUGCGUCCUCAGUCUGCUCCGGCAGGCGACAUCUCUACUGUGCUAGGAUUCACCGCCCGCCGGUGAUACUAGCGGCUCGCCUGGCGAGUUCACAGGUCAAAUGGGGGUGGCUCGCGCUGCGGGUUGAGAUAUGAUCGAAAGGCGCUUUCACCAGCGUCUAGAUGUGGAACCUGCGGAAGGAUCAUUACCGAGAACGCGCCCUCUGGGCGCAUCUCCCACCCUUUGUUUACUAUACCUUUGUUGCUUUGGCGGGCCCGUCUUGCGACCGUCGGCUUCGGCUGGCCCGCGCCCGCCAGAGGACCACAAACUCUGAUUAUCAUGCCGUCUGAGUAUUACACAAAUACGUUAAAA
rnacentral:misc_RNA from 1 species